UACGAAGGGGGCUAGCGUUGCUCGGAAUCACUGGGCGUAAAGCGCACGUAGGCGGGUCGUUAAGUCGGGGGUGAAAUCCUGGAGCUCAACUCCAGAACUGCCUUCGAUACUGGCGGCCUUGAGUCCGGGAGAGGUGAGUGGAACUCCGAGUGUAGAGGUGAAAUUCGUAGAUAUUCGGAAGAACACCAGUGGCGAAGGCGGCUCACUGGCCCGGUACUGACGCUGAGGUGCGAAAGCGUGGGGAGCAAACAGG
rnacentral:rRNA from 1 species